GGACGUUCUAACACUUAACCACUGCAGUGGGCUCCAGAAGCAGCUUUAGCUAAGUGAAUCCCUGGCUGUUCCAUUAAUUUUUUACAAAGCUACACACGAAAGAGGGCUUCGUAAAUAUUUUAAACAAUCCUUGGGGGCUGAAGCUAAGUGCUUCUGCUUUUUCCCUCCUCUCUGCCGGGUGCUCUGUUAUCUCAGGAAAAGGCUGAAGUGGGAAACAGAGCAAAGAUGCCUGCUCACAAUCUCACAAUCCAGAUCUUUCUGGAUGGAGUGGGUUUAUGUGGACCAAAUAAAACACAAGUGCUCAUCAAGGGCCUCCUUCCCAGGAACGAAGUAUGAUUCUCAGCAUCUCCUCCCCACUUCUCCAAGCUAUUGAAGCUGUUGGAACCAC